CAGUCUCAGAGAGGGGCGGGGACCUCCCCAAGAUCACACAGUGACAAAGCCAACACUUAAACAGAAGUCAUUUUCAACUGAGCACAGCAUUGUGCUUUGGAGCUGUGAAUUCCAGGGCUACUCAUACCUGCUGCCUUAUUUGAGCUUCACCCUUGGGAGGGAGCUGGACAGUUAGUAGUCCUGUUUUCAGCCACGAGAAGUUUAAAUGCCUGACUCAGUCUCUUGGGUAGCACAUGAUGUCACAAGCCUCAGGCAUCUGAUUUGUGCAGACUCUUCCUCAAUGUGUUCCCACGUUGGACCUCAUGCUUUUACCACAUUACUCCCCUCCCAAGAAUGCCCUCCUCAUUCUUCUGCACUGAUCUAGACUCUCUCUGCCUCUCACGGUCCCAUCUCCUUGCCAAACCCCUGACAACUCCAGCCCCCACGGGUGCCCAUGUUGCAUUUGAGUCCCAGCGUCUGGUCUUGUUUUCAUGAGCUUCUGGCUAAUACAGACUGUGAGCCCCCAAGUGUUCAGAGAACCAGGGCAAGCCUUCUCUUACUGUGUACCCUGGGCACACAGUAGGUGCUCAGUGAAUAUUUAAUACCACCAAGAACAAAAUCAAGCAGAGUAAAUGUUUGACCUGCAACAGAAGAAAUUUAAAUUGGAUCCAUGAAAGCAUUUCCCCUUAGCAAGCUGUCCAGCAUCAGAAGGGGUCGCACGCCCUUUCUGGGCUGUCUUGGGCAGGUCAGCCUCAAGACAGGAAGAUGGACCUCAAAACCUUUCUGAAGCCCCCAUAGCCCUUGGAAACCAUUAAAGGGCAACUGAAGAACAGGAGCCACCCUGCCCCCAUGACUGUGACUUGUCCAUGUUUCUCUCUCAUGGAUAUUUAAAAUCCCAGAUUGUCAGCCUCAGCUACCCAGCAUGCCUCUUGGCACCUUCCUCACCAUCCGCCAGCGUUGUGGGCUCUGGGAACGAGACAGAUACUUAAUAUCAGCCUAAGCCAAAUGUAAUUAGGAGCAUCAAUCUGCUGCCCACAACCCACGUGACAGGCUCCCAAGGCAGAAGGAAAAUGUUUCUGAUUCCUCACAUGCUGCUGGCUCGCCCCUUCUGUCUGUCACUCUCCCCAGUCAGAACAGAGGUCUGGAAGAGCAAUGGCCCCCUCAAAGAACUUGGCAGGGCCCCCUGCAAGUCAAGGGCUUGGCGCCUAAGAGAUACACAGAAAUGUGUACUUUUUCUGUGGUCUGACUGUCGAUAUCACAGUACCUCCCACCUCCUGGUCCCCUGCGACAUGGCCCAUCUUAGUUUCGAUUCUCCUCAAAGCAGAGCCUGAAAAAGGAAUUGGAUGCAGGUGGUUUAAUUGGAAGGUGAUCCCUGGAAGCAGGAGUGGAAGAGGUCACUGCUGGGGCCAAAGGGGCCCACUUCCCCAGAGACGUCUGGGAUGUGGCCAGGAUUGCCUGCCA
ensembl:lncRNA